rnacentral:rRNA from 1 species
UGGGUAACCUGCCUCAAAGAGGGGAAUAGCCUCCCGAAAGGGAGAUUAAUACCGCAUAAUAUGUUUAAGUCGCAUGACUUUAACAUCAAAGGAUUUUUCUUUUAAGAAAUUCCACUUUGAGAUGGACCCGCGGCGCAUUAGCUAGUUGGUGAGGUAACGGCUCACCAAGGCAACGAUGCGUAGCCGACCUGAGAGGGUGAUCGGCCACAUUGGAACUGAGACACGGUCCAGACUCCGUAGGGAGG